AGUCUGAUUUACAGUGUCCUGGGACAGUGUCUCCAUUCACUCACAGGGUCACCUGGACCGUGCCUUGCAGACACAUCCACAGUGUUACAGAGAUACACACGGAGUCCCAAACAGAUAGAGAACAGAGUGUCUGCAGGACAGCAGCAGCAGACAGUGGCACAGACACAGAUAAUUGCAGGAAAUCAUUGGUUGGUGUGAAGUGGGAGGUUGGAGAGGCAGCCUCUGUCCCCGACCUGACCAGAGCAUCUUCUGGCAGAUCCUACCCGCCUGUCCCUCACUCUUCUCUGUCUCCUUCUGGGGCUGAUGAGCCACCCCCUCCAGAAUCCUCAGCCAGGACUCCCGCCAGCUGUCCUGGCACUGCUCUGGAUGUAGCAGGGAACACCGGGAGCAGGACGGUUCUGGGUCAAAUCUCGACUUUGGCAAUUAUUCACUGUGCUACUGCAGACACAUCAUUUAACCUCCCUCAGCCUCAGCUAAAAAAAACAGACUAGAACUUAUGAUCUGCAUCACAGGCUGCUUACAAGACAAAACAGACCAGGUGCCAUGGCUUACUCCUAUAAUCCCAGCACUUUGGGAGGCCAAGUCAGGAGGAUCACUUGAAGCCAGGAGUUCAAGACCAGCCUGGGCAACAUAGUGAGACCCUGCCUCUACAAAACAAUAAAAAAUACAAAAUUA